AGUUGUAGUGUUUCAAACAGA
rnacentral:miRNA from 1 species